rnacentral:tRNA from 1 species
CGCAACCCCAGAGAUGGGCA